UACGUAGGGUGCAGGCGUUAAUCGGAAUUACUGGGCGUAAAGCGUGCGCAGGCGGUUUGCUAAGUGAGAUGUGAAAUCCCCGGGCUUAACCUGGGAACUGCGUUUCUAACUGGCAGGCUUGAGUGUGGCAGAGGGGGGUGGAAUUCCACGUGUAGCAGUGAAAUGCGUAGAGAUGUGGAGGAACACCGAUGGCGAAGGCAGCCCCCUGGGCUAACACUGACGCUCAGGCACGAAAGCGUGGGGAGCAAACAGG
rnacentral:rRNA from 1 species